CCUCACGCUUGACUUUCCUAGUGAUAUAAUUGUGCUUUAUGAAGAACUCUUUGCCUCCACUUUGUGGCUGCAAAUAAUGUCAAGUUAGAUCAAAAAUAGAUAAUGAGCAUACCGCAUUUGUUCAAGUACUUAAUUCUUACCUCUCGCAUAUGCUUCUAUCACCUUAUUUUGCAAUAUUAUUUCCUUAUUGGAUGGUCUAGCUGUCACAUGAACACUGAAACUUAUAUUAUGAACAAGGAAAAAUGCAAUAUAUGAAUGGAACAGAAAAUAUUUUCAUAGAUUGUAGACUCUUCACCACUCUUCACUAUCAAAUAACCAAAGAACCACCGUCGGGAACCGCCGAAAAAAAAACAUAAAAAUUGAACGAAAAUUAAAAUAUUUUCAUAUAUUGUUGUAUCUUCAAACCAAAAAUUGUUGAAAGUUCAAAGUUCAUACUUUUUUGUUCAAAGUACCACCAAGAAAUCACUGUUCAACACAAAAAGAUAAACAAAAAAUCACUCACAACCACAUACAUUAUAUAAAACCCAAGGGAUAAACAAACAUUUGCAUAUAUCAUCGUUCAUUCGCCAAUAAUAGCCGAAAAAGAACAUUUUUUUGACGAUUUGCAAAAAAAAAUUAUAGAAAUUUCCACCGGCAAACGAAAGAGGUAAAUUCAACCGGAAAAUUACCUCUUCCGAGCCCGGCGUGAACAAGGUGAAAGGCAUUUUCUAUUCGCCACUUUUUGCGAUUCUGGCGUGAACAAAGUUGAAGAACAAAGUAAANAAAAAAUGGUGGAGUAAGAGCUUGAAUAUUUAUUGCUAUGAUAGGUAGAAAAUGGCGGUGGAGAUGAAUAGAUUGAUGUUGAUAGGUUAUUUAGUGUAGGUGAAUUUUUUUAUUCAAACAAAUGGAGUCAACCCUAUAAUUAAGGGAUUUAUUUCUGAUUUACCAAAUUUAAGAUGAUUCAUACCAUAACGACAUUAAACAUAUUUUCCAUUAUUACCCUUGUUCAUA
rnacentral:lncRNA from 1 species